UACGUAGGGGACAAGCGUUGUUCGGAAUUACUGGGCGUAAAGGGCGCGUAGGCGGCCUGCUAAGUCGGACGUGAAAUCCCUCGGCUCAACCGAGGAACUGCGUCCGAUACUGGUGGGCUUGAAUCCGGGAGAGGGAUGUGGAAUUCCAGGUGUAGCGGUGAAAUGCGUAGAUAUCUGGAGGAACACCGGUGGCGAAGGCGGCAUCCUGGACCGGUAUUGACGCUGAGGCGCGAAAGCUAGGGGAGCAAACGGG
rnacentral:rRNA from 1 species